UACAGAGGUCUCAAGCGUUGUUCGGAUUCAUUGGGCGUAAAGGGUGCGUAGGCGGCGCGGUAAGUCGGGUGUGAAAUCUUGGAGCUUAACUCCGAAACUGCAUUCGAUACUGCCGUGCUUGAGGACUGGAGAGGAGACUGGAAUUUACGGUGUAGCGGUGAAAUGCGUAGAUAUCGUAAGGAAGACCAGUGGCGAAGGCGGGUCUCUGGACAGUUCCUGACACUGAGGCACGAAAGCGUGGGGAUCAAACAGG
rnacentral:rRNA from 1 species